GACGAACCGUGCGAACGUUAUUCGGAAUCACUGGGCUUAAAGGGCGCGUAGGCGGACUCGUUAGUCAGGGGUGAAAGCCCACGGCCCAACCGUGGAAGUGCCUUUGAUACUGCGAGUCUCGAGGGGGAUAGGGGCGUGCGGAACUCAGGGUGAAGCGGUGAAAUGCGUAGAUAUCCUGAGGAACACCGGUGGCGAAAGCGGCGCGCUGGAUCCCUUCUGACGCUGAGGCGCGAAAGCCAGGGGAGCAAACGGG
rnacentral:rRNA from 1 species